rnacentral:rRNA from 1 species
UAAAGAUCCGUCGGAUGAGGAUAGGCUCGCGUGACAUUAGCUAGACGGCGGGGUAACGGCCCACCGUGGCGACGAUGUCUAGGGGUCCUGAGAGGAAGGUCCCCCACACUGGAACUGAGACACGGUCCAGACUCCUACGGGAGGCAGCAGUGAGGAAUAUUGGUCAAUGGCCGGAAGGCUGAACCAGCCAUGCCGCGUGAAGGUCAGUGCCCUAUGGGCGUUAAACUUCUUUUGUGCGGGAGCAAUAAGGGCCACGCGUGGCCUGACGAGAGUACCGUACGAAUAAGCAUCGGCUAACUCCGUGCCAGCAGCCGCGGUAAUACGGGGGAUGCAAGCGUUAUCCGGAUUUAUUGGGUUUAAAGGGUGCGUAGGCUGUGAGGUAAGUCAGCGGUGAAAUGCCCCCGCUCAACGGGGUGAAGUGCCAUUGAUACUGCCUUGCUGGAAUGCGGAUGCCGUGGGAGGAAUGUGUGGUGUAGCGGUGAAAUGCAUAGAUAUCACACAGAACACCGAUUGCGAAGGCAUCUCACGAAUCCGCGAUUGACGCUGAUGCACGAAAGCGUGGGUAUCAAACAGGAUUAGAUACCCUGGUAGUCCACG